CCUACGGGAGGCAGCAGUGAGGAAUCUUGGUCAAUGGACGAGAGUCUCAUCCAGCCAAGCAGCGUGAAGGAUGACUGCCCUAUGGGUUGUAAACUUCUUUUAUAUGGGAAUAAAAUGUUCCACGUGUGGGAUGUUGUAUGUACCAUAUGAAUAAGGCUCGGCUAACUCCGUGCAAGCAGCCGCGGUAAUACGGAGGAUCCGAGCGUUAUCCGGAUUUAGUGGGUUUAAAGGGAGCGAAGGUGGAUUGUUAAGGCAAUUGUGAAAGUGUGCGGGUCAACCGUAACAUGGCAGUUGAAACUGGCAGUCUGGAGUACAGUAGAGGUGCGUGGAAUUCGUGGUGUAGCGGUGAAAUGCUUAGAUAGCACGAAGAACUCCGAUUGCGAAGGCAGCGCACUGGACUGCAACUGACACUGAGGCUCGAAAGUGUGGGUAUCAAACAGGAUUAGAUACCCCAGUAGUC
rnacentral:rRNA from 1 species